CCUACGGGGUGCAGCAGUGAGGAAUAUUGGUCAAUGGCCGUAAGGCUGAACCAGCCAAGCCGCGUGCAGGAAGACGGAUCUAUGGUUUGUAAACUUCUUUUGUAGGGGGAUAAAGGUAUCCACGUGUGUCUAUUUGCAUGUACCCUAUGAAUAAGGAUCGGCUAACUCCGUGCCAGCAGCCGCGGUAAUACGGAGGAUUCGAGCGUUAUCCGGAUUUAUUGGGUUUAAAGGGUGCGUAGGUUGUGUUUUAAGUCAGCGGUGAAAGGUUGUGGCUCAACCAUAAAAUUGCCGUUGAAACUGGAAGACUUGAGUGUGUUUGAGGUAGGCGGAAUGCGUGGUGUAGCGGUGAAAUGCAUAGAUAUCACGCAGAACUCCGAUUGCGAAGGCAGCUUACUAAGCCAUAACUGACACUGAGGCACGAAAGCGUGGGGAUCAAACAGGAUUAGAUACCCCGGUAGUC
rnacentral:rRNA from 1 species